CCACGUGACUUAAUUGGCUGGUCAUUGGAAUGAAGCUGCUUGUGAUGCUGGAGGUUGGCUAGUAUGGCUUUAUUUCCGACCUUUAAAAUGAAUCUGGACAAAGCUACUGUGAUCUAAUGCAAGUGUUUCACCCCUCGCUCCCUUGCUUUCUCCUCUUCUCUCCUUUCCUGCCUCCCUUUAACCUCUCUCUCUACUGUGCCAACUAAUGCUGCCCUGUUUGGCCUUCUAGUAAGUUUAGUUAGGAUACAACAGCACUAUGAACUCAUUAAGGGAGAAUGGCUACCAGGACAUAUACCUACCAGCCAGAAAAAAAAAACAAAACUGCUUUAUGUGGACAUACUCUUUAGCUUGUGCUUAUUCCUAGAGGGAGGGGUGCUCCUUCAGGUGUACUUUAAUGAAUCUGUAUCAGGGUCUUAGCUAAUGGGGUAUUGCUUUAAAAUUAUCUGUAUAUUCCUCACCUAUAUGUAAAGUGAUCAUUCUAAGGCUAGACUAGGAUGCUGUGGGUUUUUUUUUUUUUUUGGUUUGUUUUUUUAAAUUAGAUAUUUUCUUCAUUUACACUUCAAAUGCUAUCCCCUUUCCUAGUUUCCUCUCC
rnacentral:lncRNA from 1 species